CCAGGUUAAUCAGUCAGGGACCAGAACAGGGCUGGCCGGCCCUUACACCCUGAGACCUCACUUAGAUAUACACUGGCUGCUACUUGGAAGGGUUUCUUUUCUCCAAAUGUAGAGAGGAAAAAAAUCACACGCCCUAUUUUGACACCAUCCCUCUCAUCAGAAUCUCCAUGCUGGAAGGGCCAUGGGGGCAGGCAGCCUCUGUGGGAGAGCUCUCACCUUCUGUCCAAAGACUCUGCUCCCAGGAAAGCUUCUCCCGAUGCCUCCCAGAACGGGGUUCCUGCCAGGGGCCCGCCACAGGAAGAUUUCAGGGAGCCCAGGAACAAGACAGAGUUAUUUCCAUUAACCUCAGGCUGGAUUUGAGCAUUUCCUUCGGCCGUUCAAACAUGCCACUUCCUCUCCCACCUCCACGCCUUUGCACUGGCUGUGCCCCCUGCCGGGAACGCUCUCCCUCCACAUUUCUACCCCUGGCUUCCCUGGCUUCCUCUGAAGCCCAGCUUCAAUCUCACUUU